UCUUAAAUGUAUUAAACAAAUUAUAUCGCAAGUUUACUCCAUGUAUUGCAAUGUAUGUGUGCUUUGUUCAGCUCCCUAUCAAAAUUACAUUAACUAGUCUACUUUAAAAUGUUAAAAGGCCAUUCUGAAUAAAUAACUGUUGUAUAUUUAUUGUUACUUCUUUCAGAUCCUUUUCUUGGUGUGUCUUGAUGUUUUCUAUUGGCUAAAGACAAUAAAAGCAUAGAGAUAUAUAAAGCAAAGACAACUAUAAGAGAAUCCUUCAGGGGCCAGUAAAACAUCUACAGUUACAGCAGUAAACAUACUUGUUAUGGGUGCAAAUAAGGAGACUUCGACAUGCCUCUGUGAAACUGACAAUCUUGGGUAGGAGCUGCUGGUUUGUGUUUGGCAGUAUGGAUUACGGUCUGCGACUCAUGAUGUCUGGGCUGGAGACACAAAGAGGUUG